rnacentral:rRNA from 1 species
GUCUACGGCCAUACCACCCUGAACGCACCCAAUCUCAUCUGAUCUCGGAAG